UAGUCCACGCCGUAAACGAUGUGUGCUAGUUGUCGGGUCCAUAGGAUUCGGUGACGCAGCUAACGCAUUAAGCACACCGCCUGGGGAGUACGGUCGCAAGAUUAAAACUCAAAGGAAUUGACGGGGACCCGCACAAGCGGUGGAGCAUGUUGUUUAAUUCGAAGCAACGCGAAGAACCUUACCUACACUUGACAUACUCGUCGGGGAUUACAGAGAUGUUUUCCUUCGGUUCGGCCGGACGAUGUACAGGUGCUGCACGGCUGUCGUCAGCUCGUGUCGUGAGAUGUUUGGUUAAGUCCAGCAACGAGCGCAACCCCUCAUCCUUUGUUGCCAGCACGUAAUGGUGGGAACUCUAAGGAAACUGCCGGAGUUAAUCCGGAGGAAGGUGGGGAUGACGUCAAGUCCUCAUGGCCCUUACGGCCUGGGCUACACACGUGUUACAAUGGGAGUGACAGCGCGCUGCUACUCAGCAAUGAGAUGCUAAUCGCUAAAAGCUUCCUCAGUUCGG
rnacentral:rRNA from 1 species